CUUUCUAAUGUCAAGUCUCCCAUAUUCGCUCCAUGCUUAAAUUUUUUCCACGGUUCAUUAAACGUAUCGUUACUUCUUAAUCUUUGAUGUUCACUAGUUUUCCCCUUAUUAAUAAAAAGAUACUAUUAUGGCACAGCUUAAAAUACGAUCUGUAAUUAGAUCUGUAUUCGUCCGUAUUUUACGUGAUCCGCCCAUAAUUAAGUCACUUCUAAUCAACGUUUUCUACUAUACUCAAAUUCCUAUAUGUUUCAACCAUUUCCCAAGCAUUCUAGGUUUUCCGUUUCUCUGUAUUGACUUUGUCUAGUUCUUAUUGGUGUACAGAUAUNAGGUCAUGUUCAUCACUAAAUUAAUUUAUAUCUUAGUAUAAUUACCUAGUUGAUGAUACAUUUUCUAUUUGUCUCGAAAAUAUAAAAAAAAAAAAAAUCAAAAAUCCAAGGUAUACUACCUGAAGAUACUUUUCAUGAUCGAUUAAAAUUCGGAUCAAAGGCUGAAAUUAAUAAUAUAAUUAUUGACCCUGCCCCCCUUAAAAAUAAUGAUACAUAUAGGACUUACUUGAGAGACACGUGUGUUAUCCAUUUUUAUAUUUCUUCUUGUUUCGGCAAUUAUCGAAGACAGUUAAGUUCAAUUACUGUAGCAUCAAGAUUCUUAACAAACGUCUUCCUUUACAUUGUCGAUUUCUUAACGGCCUUCAUGGUCAUCUUGAGACCGGCUUCCAUUUUUUUAUUCGCUUAUUGUUUUCUCAUGAUCCAAACGCCUGUUGUGCAGCCUACUGUUUAUCGUUUAUCGGAUUGAUUAGUUAUAAUAUUACUAGUUGUGUCGACCGGCGUAGCUCGUGCAAAAUAAAUGUGAAAAAAACACUACUUCCCUCUAGAUUUCUUGUUUAAAUCUCAGUCACUAUAACUGCAGUCAACUGUUGUCG